GAUAAACGCUGGCGGCGCACAUAAGACAUGCAAGUCGAACGAGCUUAAUACCUUGCUUGCAAGGUAAGCGGCUAGUGGCGGACUGGUGGGUAACACGUAAGGAACCUGCCUAUUAGAGAGGAAUACCAGUGAGAAAUCACUGUUAAUACCUCAUAUGCCUUAGUUAUCGCAUGAUAGCAGAGGGAAAGGAGCAAUCCACUAAUAGAUGGCCUUGCGGCUGAUUAACUAGUUGGUGAGAUAAUAGCCCACAAGGUGACGAUCAGUAGCCGAACUGAGAGGUUGAACGGCCACAUUGGGACUGAGAUACCGGCCAG
rnacentral:rRNA from 1 species